rnacentral:rRNA from 1 species
CCUANGGGUGGCAGCAGUGGGGAAUUUUGGACAAUGGGGGCAACCCUGAUCCAGCCAUUCCGCGUGAGUGAAGAAGGCCUUCGGGUUGUAAAGCUCUUUCGCAAGGGAAGAAAACUUACCUAAUAACACUAGGUGAGGCUGACGGUACCUUGAUAAGAAGCACCGGCUAACUACGUGCCAGCAGCCGCGGUAAUACGUAGGGUGCGAGCGUUAAUCGGAAUUACUGGGCGUAAAGCGUGCGCAGGCGGUCUUGAAAGUCAGAUGUGAAAGCCCCGGGCUCAACCUGGGAACUGCGUUUGAAACUCCAAGACUAGAGUAUGGCAGAGGGGGGUAGAAUUCCACGUGGAGCAGUGAAAUGCGUAGAGAUGUGGAGGAAUACCAAUGGCGAAGGCAGCCCCCUGGGUCAAUACUGACGCUCAUGCACGAAAGCGUGGGGAGCAAACAGGAUUAGAUACCCCANUANUC